rnacentral:rRNA from 1 species
GAUGAACGCUGGCGGCGUGCUUAACACAUGCAAGUCGAACGGGAAACCUUUUAUUGAAGCUUCGGCAGAUUUAGCUGGUUUCUAGUGGCGGACGGGUGAGUAACGCGUGGGUAACCUGCCUUAUACAGGGGGAUAACAGUCAGAAAUGGCUGCUAAUACCGCAUAAGCGCACAGAGCUGCAUGGCUCAGUGUGAAAAACUCCGGUGGUAUAAGAUGGACCCGCGUUGGAUUAGCUGGUUGGUGGGGUAACGGCCCACCAAGGCGACGAUCCAUAGCCGGCCUGAGAGGGUGAACGGCCACAUUGGGACUGAGACACGGCCCAGACUCCUACGGGAGGCAGCAGUGGGGAAUAUUGCACAAUGGGGGAAACCCUGAUGCAGCGACGCCGCGUGAAGGAAGAAGUAUCUCGGUAUGUAAACUUCUAUCAGCAGGGAAGAUAAUGACGGUACCUGAAGAAGAAGCCCCGGCUAACUACGUG